UAUGUAAAUGGUAAAAAUAAAAAGUAUAAAAGAAAAGAAAAGGAGAAAAGUGGAAUGAAGCCUGUGUGAUUCGAAGUGUAUUUGUAUUGACAUGCAUAUUACAUCAAGUGUCUUGUUAGGCUUUUUAUCUCUGAGGGGUAUCUGUUCCCCUUACCCUUUGAGGUAUUUGUUUCGCCCUCCCCUAUCUGGUAUAGAAAGACGUGAGCAAACUACUCUCAGUGGAUGAUGGCAUACCUUCUAAUGUGAGUGGUAUCCUACUAUCUACAAGGGUCACCCGUGGCUAAGUAAUGUCGUGAUUGUACAUAUCU
rnacentral:lncRNA from 1 species